AAACCAUGAUUAGAACAGUUGCGAAGCAAACUCUUGUAACGAUCUCAAUAUUCAUAGAUAGAUUCGUCAUCGUCUUGGCAAAAGUAUGCUAUGUCAUUCCUUAGCUGAGUGU